UACGUAGGGGGCUAGCGUUGUCCGGAUUUAUUGGGCGUAAAGAGCGUGUAGGCGGCCAGAUAAGUCCGCUGUGAAAUCUCGAGGCUCAACUUCGAGCUGUCGGUGGAAACUAUCUGGCUAGAGUCCGGAAGAGGAGAAUGGAAUUCCCGGUGUAGCGGUGAAAUGCGCAGAUAUCGGGAGGAACACCAAUGGCGAAGGCAGCUCGCUGGGACGUGACUGACGCUGAGACGCGAAAGCGUGGGAGCAAACAGG
rnacentral:rRNA from 1 species